AGUGAAUAGAUACCCCGGUAGUCCACGCCGUAAACGAUGGAUGCUAGCUGUUAUGAGUAUCGACCCUCGUAGUAGCGAAAGCUAACGCGUUAAGCAUCCCGCCUGUGGAGUACGAGCGCAAGCUUAAAACAUAAAGGAAUUGACGGGGACCCGCACAAGCGGUGGAGCGUGUUGUUUAAUUCGAUGAUAAACGAAGAACCUUACCAAGGCUUGACAUCCUGCUAAGGUUUCCGAAAGGAAACUGUGCCUUCGGGCCGCAGUGACAGGUGUUGCAUGGCCGUCGUCAGCUCGUGUCGUGAGAUGUUUGGUUAAGUCCAUUAACGAGCGCAACCCUUUUAGCUAAUUGAAUUUCUCUAGCUAGACUGCCCCGGUAACGGGGAGGAAGGAGGGGAUGAUGUCAGGUCAGUAUUACCCUUACGCCUUGGGCGACAAACACGCUACAAUGGCCGGUACAAAGGGCAGCUAAGUCGCGAGACGGAGCAAAUCCCAUCAAAGCCGGUCUCAGUUCGGAUUGCAGGCUGAAACCCGCCUGCAUGAAGCUGGAA
rnacentral:rRNA from 1 species